rnacentral:rRNA from 1 species
CAGCAGCCGCGGUAAUACGUAGGUGGCAAGCGUUGUCCGGAAUUAUUGGGCGUAAAGGGCUCGCAGGCGGUUUCUUAAGUCUGAUGUGAAAGCCCCCGGCUCAACCGGGGAGGGUCAUUGGAAACUGGGAAACUUGAGUGCAGAAGAGGAGAGUGGAAUUCCACGUGUAGCGGUGAAAUGCGUAGAGAUGUGGAGGAACACCAGUGGCGAAGGCGACUCUCUGGUCUGUAACUGACGCUGAGGAGCGAAAGCGUGGGGAGCGAACAGGAUUAGAUACCCCUGUAGUCCUGUCUCUUAUACA